UUCUUCUGUCAGUGUUUAUAUUGAGGGAGAAGUUAAUCAGAGCUCUUACCUUCGCCUCCUUCCCUUCCUUUCCCUCCCCUUCCAUACGUGUGAGGGAGGGAGACCAUAGACUACGUACUUUCCGCUCACGUUCACCUCCUCUCCCACCCUCUUCUGUCACUGUUUAUAUUGAGGGAGAGAUUAAUCAGAGCUCUUCCCUACGCCUCCUUCCCCUCCCCUUCCAUACAUUCCAGUGUUUACAGUGAGGCACGGGCUUGAUCACUCUGUCUGCUCCUCUCCCUCCCAAACCUCCUCCUCCCUUCUCCCAGUGUGACGGAGUAAGCACAAUAGCCGGCAGCGUCACGACCCUCGCCAUUCAGAGGCCGACCCACAGAACCCAGAGAAAUUAGGUCUGACAGCAGUGGCAGCGGUAUCAAAGGUGGUGGCGGUGGUGGUAGUGUCAGGGAGAGGUCAACCAGCCACCUUGAUGCCACGCCCCCUUACAUGACCUAGUUUGGGAGAGAGAGAGAGAGAGAGAGAGAGAGAGAGAGAGAGAGAGAGAGAGAGAGAGAGAGAGAGAGAGAGAGAGAGAGAGAGAGAGAGAGAGA